AACAUACCUCAUUAAAAAAAACUAAUAAAUAUUAUAAUUAUAAAUGUGGUGUUAAACCUAUAUAAGACCAUUGAAAUACGUUCACAAUAACAAUCACCUGUAAGUCUCUUUAUUGUUUGUUACGUAUAUAAAGAAAACAAAACCAUCAGCCAUGAAACUGUUACUGUUUUUUUCAGCCAUUCUCUCAAUCGUUGCUUGGGCAAGUGCAAAAUCACAACUCUUCUGUGAAGCAGCGUGCGCAAGUGACAACCAUCCCGUCUGUGGUACUGACGGAAAGACAUAUACCAACAAAUGCUUCUGCGAGUGUCGCGGUGCGAAGGUUGCCCACAAUGGCGCUUGUUAAUAACCUGAACAUGGAUAAUUCAUCUAUUGAGAACUUUGAAGCAAAUUUAAUAUAAUAUGAUCAUAAUAUUUUUAUAAUGUUAUUCAAAACAAAUUAAAGCAAUAAUUCAUUUUAAA